rnacentral:rRNA from 1 species
GACGAACGCUGGCGGCGUGCUUAACACAUGCAAGUCGAACGGAAAGGCCCUGCUUUUGUGGGGUGCUCGAGUGGCGAACGGGUGAGUAACACGUGAGUAACCUGCCCUUGACUUUGGGAUAACUUCAGGAAACUGGGGCUAAUACCGGAUAGGAGCUCCUUCUGCAUGGUGGGGGUUGGAAAGUUUCGGCGGUUGGGGAUGGACUCGCGGCUUAUCAGCUUGUUGGUGGGUAGUGGCUUACCAAGGCUUUGACGGGUAGCCGGCCUGAGAGGGUGACCGGCCACAUUGGGACUGAGAUACGGCCCAGACUCCUACGGGAGGCAGCAGUGGGGAAUAUUGCACAAUGGGCGGAAGCCUGAUGCAGCAACGCCGCGUGCGGGAUGACGGCCUUCGGGUUGUAAACCGCUUUCGCCUGUGACGAAGCGUGAGUGACGGUAAUGGGUAAAGAAGCACCGGCUAACUACGUG